AUACAAUUGCAGGAGUAAAAAAAAAAAAAAAAAAAGGAGCAACAGGUCCAACUCCAAAACUCAGGUCAUCCAAAUCCUCAAUCCCAAAUGCGAUGCAGAAAGGUUCGGGAAACCGGAAUGCCAUGCUGGAACAAUCUUCAGAAUCCUCAUAUUUCUUCAUCAUGCGCGAAAUCAAUGACGUACAAUCAUGAACACGACAGAGCAACAACGAACACAACGAACGCGACGAAUACAACGAAUUCGACAUUCAAACCCGAAAUCCACGUGGACCUCCAAUCGUGGUUCAAAAUCUACACGCGCGGAAUCAUAGUGGAAUCAUAUUAGAAUCAAGAACUCACCGAAUCGGAGUCCCGAAUAGUGCUUGAAUGGUUUUGUAGGAUAUGCAAAAGUGGAAUGAUGGAAUCAAAGGCAUGACUUGUUCUUGAAGAAAGUAGUGGAGAUUUGGAUCAGGGCUAUUAUAGGAUGUUAUGGAUUUAUUAUUGUACUUGUUGUAAAUUGGGAUUGGAUUGAAAUUGAAUGUAAUAAAUUUGGGAAUUUGUUGUAAUUUUGUAUGUAGUUCAUGGUUGUAAUUGGAAAGAAUGGAAAACUUGAAUGUUAAUGGUAUGGUAAUGAUUGAAAUAAAAUGGUGUAAUCUUGGAUCAA